GUGCUCACUUUAGCAGCACAUAAACACUAAAAUUGGAACGAUACAGAGAAGAUUAGCAUGGCUCCUGUGCAAGGAGGACCUGCAAAUUUGUGAAGUGUUCCAUGCUUUC
ensembl:snRNA Gm26064 predicted gene, 26064